GGGUUGUGAGGUUAAGCGACUAAGCGUACACGGUGGAUGCCCUGGCAGUCAGAGGCGAUGAAGGACGUGCUAAUCUGCGAAAAGCGUCGGUAAGGUGAUAUGAACCGUUAUAACCGGCGAUGUCCGAAUGGGGAAACCCAGUGUGAUUCGUCACACUAUCGUUAACUGAAUACAUAGGUUAACGAGGCGAACCGGGGGAACUGAAACAUCUAAGUACCCCGAGGAAAAGAAAUCAACCGAGAUUCCCCCAGUAGCGGCGAGCGAACGGGGAGCAGCCCAGAGUCUGAAUCAGCUUGUGUGUUAGUGGAACGGUCUGGAAAGUCCGACGGUACAGGGUGAUAGUCCCGUACACCAAAAUGCACAGGUUGUGAACUCGAAGAGUAGGGCGGGACACGUGGUAUCCUGUCUGAAUAUGGGGGGACCAUCCUCCAAGGCUAAAUACUCCUGACUGACCGAUAGUGAACCAGUACCGUGAGGGAAAGGCGAAAAGAACCCCGGCGAGGGGAGUGAAAAAGAACCUGAAACCGUGUACGUACAAGCAGUGGGAGCACCUUCGGGUGUGACUGCGUACCUUUUGUAUAAUGGGUCAGCGACUUAUAUUCUGUAGCAAGGUUAACCGUAUAGGGGAGCCGCAGGGAAACCGAGUCUUAACUGGGCGUUAAGUUGCAGGGUAUAGACCCGAAACCCGGUGAUCUAGCCAUGGGCAGGUUGAAGGUUGGGUAACACUAACUGGAGGACCGAACCGACUAAUGUUGAAAAAUUAGCGGAUGACUUGUGGCUGGGGGUGAAAGGCCAAUCAAACCGGGAGAUAGCUGGUUCUCCCCGAAAGCUAUUUAGGUAGCGCCUCGUGAACUCAUCUUCGGGGGUAGAGCACUGUUUCGGCUAGGGGGUCAUCCCGACUUACCAACCCGAUGCAAACUACGAAUACCGAAGAAUGUUAUCACGGGAGACACACGGCGGGUGCUAACGUCCGUCGUGAAGAGGGAAACAACCCAGACCGCCAGCUAAGGUCCCAAAGUCAUGGUUAAGUGGGAAACGAUGUGGGAAGGCACAGACAGCCAGGAUGUUGGCUUAGAAGCAGCCAUCAUUUAAAGAAAGCGUAAUAGCUCACUGGUCGAGUCGGCCUGCGCGGAAGAUGUAACGGGGCUAAACCAUGCACCGAAGCUGCGGCAGCGACACUAUGUGUUGUUGGGUAGGGGAGCGUUCUGUAAGCCUGCGAAGGUGGCCUGUGAGGGUUGCUGGAGGUAUCAGAAGUGCGAAUGCUGACAUAAGUAACGAUAAAGCGGGUGAAAAGCCCGCUCGCCGGAAGACCAAGGGUUCCUGUCCAACGUUAAUCGGGGCAGGGUGAGUCGACCCCUAAGGCGAGGCCGAAAGGCGUAGUCGAUGGGAAACAGGUUAAUAUUCCUGUACUUGGUGUUACUGCGAAGGGGGGACGGAGAAGGCUAUGUUAGCCGGGCGACGGUUGUCCCGGUUUAAGCAUGUAGGCGGAGGUUCCAGGUAAAUCCGGUACCUUUUAACGCUGAGGUGUGAUGACGAGGCACUACGGUGCUGAAGUAACAAAUGCCCUGCUUCCAGGAAAAGCCUCUAAGCAUCAGGUAACAUUAAAUCGUACCCCAAACCGACACAGGUGGUCAGGUAGAGAAUACCAAGGCGCUUGAGAGAACUCGGG
rnacentral:rRNA from 1 species